CCAGACUCCUACGGGAGGCAGCAGUGAGGAAUAUUGGUCAAUGGGCGGGAGCCUGAACCAGCCAAGUCGCGUGAGGGAAGACGGCCCUACGGGUUGUAAACCUCUUUUGUCGGGGAGCAAAGCGAACCACGUGUGGUUCAUUGAGAGUACCCGAAGAAAAAGCAUCGGCUAACUCCGUGCCAGCAGCCGCGGUAAUACGGAGGAUGCGAGCGUUAUCCGGAUUUAUUGGGUUUAAAGGGUGCGCAGGCGGAGGUGCAAGUCAGCGGUCAAAUUGCGGGGCUCAACCCCGUACUGCCGUUGAAACUGGCAGUCUCGAGUUGGAGAGAAGUAUGCGGAAUGCGCGGUGUAGCGGUGAAAUGCAUAGAUAUCGCGCAGAACUCCGAUUGCGAAGGCAGCAUGCCGGCUCCACACUGACGCUGAGGCACGAAAGCGUGGGUAUCGAACAGGAUUAGAUACCCUCGUA
rnacentral:rRNA from 1 species